AUGAGAUCCAAGACUUCUUUGGUGAUGAGGAAACGAAUACGGCUUUACCGAAACGCCCUGAAAGAGUCGAGGGAGAAGCCCUUCAGGUGCGAGUUCGAGGGCUGCGAACGGCGCUUUGCCAACAGCAGCGACCGCAAGAAGCACUCGCACGUUCACACGAGUGACAAGCCCUACACGUGCAAAGUGCGCGGCUGCGACAAGUGCUACACGCACCCCAGCUCGCUGCGCAAGCACAUGAAAGUGCACGGGCGCUCGCCGCCGCCGCCCAGCUCUGGCUACGACUCGGCCACGCCGUCUGCCCUCGUGUCGCCCUCGUCGGACUUCGGUCGCGAGCCCCCGGCGGCCUCCUCGGCGGCGGUGGCGGCGCGGGGCGCCGACCUGAGCGAAUGA
rnacentral:lncRNA from 1 species